UGGGGAAUAUUGCACAAUGGGGGAAACCCUGAUGCAGCGACGCCGCGUGAAGGAAGAAGUAUUUCGGUAUGUAAACUUCUAUCAGCAGGGAAGAAAAUGACGGUACCUGACUAAGAAGUCCCGGCUAACUACGUGCCAGCAGCCGCGGUAAUACGUAGGGGGCAAGCGUUAUCCGGAUUUACUGGGUGUAAAGGGAGCGUAGGCGGCAUGGCAAGCCAGAUGUGAAAACCCGGGGCUUAACCCCGGGACUGCAUUUGGAACUGUCAGGCUUGAGUGUUGGAGAGGUAAGCGGAAUUCCUAGUGUAGCGGUGAAAUGCGUAGAUAUUAGGAGGAACACCAGUGGCGAGGGCGGCUUACUGGACAAUAACUGACGCUGAGGCUCGAAAGCGUGGGGAGC
rnacentral:rRNA from 1 species